rnacentral:rRNA from 1 species
UGGGGAAUUUUGGACAAUGGGCGCAAGCCUGAUCCAGCCAUGCCGCGUGCGGGAAGAAGGCCUUCGGGUUGUAAACCGCUUUUGUCAGGGAAGAAAUCUUCUGAGUUAAUACCUCGGGAGGAUGACGGUACCUGAAGAAUAAGCACCGGCUAACUACGUGCCAGCAGCCGCGGUAAUACGUAGGGUGCAAGCGUUAAUCGGAAUUACUGGGCGUAAAGCGUGCGCAGGCGGUUUUGUAAGACAGAGGUGAAAUCCCCGGGCUCAACCUGGGAACUGCCUUUGUGACUGCAAGGCUUGAGUGCGGCAGAGGGGGGAUGGAAUUCCGCGUGUAGCAGUGAAAUGCGUAGAUAUGCGGAGGAACACCGAUGGCGAAGGCGAUCCCCUGGGCCUGCACUGACGCUCAUGCACGAAAGCGUGGGGAGCAAACAGGAUUAGAUACCCUGGUAGUCCACGCCCUAAACGAUGUCAACUGGUUGUUGGGAAGGUUCCUUCUCAGUAACGUAGCUAACGCGUGAAGUUGACCGCCUGGGGAGUACGGCCGCAAGGUUG